rfam:Bacillus galactosidilyticus strain PL133 scaffold000068, whole genome shotgun sequence.
CGGAAUCCUCGCUAGGUGAGGCUCCUAUGUGGAGAGACGCUGCUGCCCAGAAAUGUCGAAAGACUCCAAUGGGUCAACAGGAACCAUCGACUUAAGGUGGUUUUUAAUGUAGCUGGAUAACAAUCCUAUGCCACAUAGUGCUAAAGCUCUGCGAAGGAGGUUUAUU